rnacentral:rRNA from 1 species
CCUACGGGAGGCUGCAGUGGGGAAUAUUGCGCAAUGGGCGAAAGCCUGACGCAGCGACGCCGCGUGAGGGAUGAAGGUCUUCGGAUCGUAAACCUCUGUCAGCAGGGAAGAACGGUCACGGGGCUAAGCAGCAGUGAAUUGACGGUACCGGCAAAGGAAGCACCGGCUAACUCCGUGCCAGCAGCCGCGGUAAUACGGAGGGUGCGAGCGUUAAGCGGACUUACUGGGCGUACCGCGCUCGUAGGCGGUAUGUCAAGUCAAGGGUGAAAUCCCCGCGCUCAACGUGGGAACUGCCUUUGAAACUGGCAAACUGGAGUGUGUGAGAGGAUAGUGGACUUCCCGGUGU